rnacentral:lncRNA from 1 species
AAGGACUCUAUGAUGCUGGGAACAGCAGGUGCCUGAAGAAGGAUCUGCUGGAGGAACAAGAAGCAUGUUCUGCUCCAGAAAUCUCUCUCAAACCAGAGCUGGCUUGGUUAAACUGCAACUGAAACAUCAUCAGCAGAGUGGGACCAUACAGGAGAGGGGUGAAUUCUGGGCACAAUUUGGAAGACUCCUUUCAGCUUUCAGUCAAAAGUACCCACCGUCCUGGAUCUAAAAUGUGAAAUCUCUGCUUUGAGCAAAAAACUUGCUGCUGUGAGUAAGGAACAAGCUGGCACAACGCUUAUUUAGCAAAGGACACACCAUGAUUGCUGCUAAGCUGAAUUAGAAGUUGGAGAGAGACAGUGGAGAGAAAUUCUUAAACCUGUUACCAUGGUCAUUACUCAGCACUGUGUAUUUCACUGCCACAGAUCACCGUGCAGACAUAAUGCUCAUUAUCUGUGCAGGAGGUCGCCUUUGCAUGCUGGAGGAAAACACUGUGCAAGUGACUGAGCCCCUGAGGCUGCCAGCUGCCAGCAGAUGCAUGUGAACAACCAGGGCAAGCACCCCGAAACUCCUUCAGGAGCUGCUACACCUGGAGUGAUACUAUUAAAAAGAGCUGGCUUAGGGCAACCAAGGGCUGAAGGAUGUUCCCAAGCAGCGCUUCAGGAUGUGUCAGCCCUGCUGUUAUGGGUAAUGGGAGCCAGCACUGCAAGGACAGGUUUGUUCUCUUCUUGUGCAAUAGUUCUUUAG